AGGGGGCACGGGGUCCCAGCGGUCCCUAGGCCUUGCCUUCGCGUCCUGCUGCGCCCCGAGGGCCCUCAGGGCCCGCACCGAAGGGACUUGGGAGGGGGCCUCUUUUUUCCCCCCUCGUCCUGUCCCCGAGUGCGUGAACCCUCCUCCACCCUUCGCUCUGUCUCCGUGGACCCUGCUCCCACGGCUCCCUUCCGUCUGUCCGUCUCAGGACCUCCCUUCCGUCUGGCCACUGUGACAGGUCCCUUCCCAAGCCCCUAGGGACAGCAGAGGACUUGGGGACCAGCAAGCACCCCCAGGGCAAGAGAAAAGCCUCUGCCACCUGCCCUGCUUCAUCCUGCCCCACGCCAGGCCCAGCCACCCCGGCCCCCGGCUGCAUCAAGUGGAGGAGGAGGAGGUGGAGGAGGGUGGCACCAUGGGCCUGGGCCGUGCCCUCCAUGCCCGGGGGAUGAAGACACUGCUGCCAUGGACAGCCCGUGCCAGCCCCAGCCCUUGAGUCAGGCUCUCCCUCAGUUGCCGGGUUCGGUGUCAGAGCCCUUGGAGCCUAGCCGGGCCAGGAUGGGGGUGGAGAGUUACCUACCCUGUCCCCUGCUGUCCUACCACCGUCCAGGAGCGCCCACUGAGGCCUCGGCAGGGAGCGGGACCCCCAGAGCCACAGCUACUUCCACCACAGCCAGCCCCCUGCGGGAGGGCUUCGGUGGACAGGAUGGCGGCGAGCUGCGGCCGCUGCAGAGUGAGGGUGCUGCGGCACUGGUCACCAAGGGGUGCCAGCGGCUGGCAGCCCAGGGCGCCCGGCCCGAGGCCCCCAAGCGGAAGUGGGCAGAGGAUGGUGGGGAUGCCCCCGCACCCAGCAAGCGGCCCUGGGCCAGGCAGGAGAACCAGGAGGCGGAGGGUGAGGGCUGCAGCAGUGGCAGUGGUGAGGCCAGCGCCGGGCUGAGGGAGGAGGUGCUGCCUGUGGCGCCUGAGCGCCUGGCCCUGGACUACAUUGUGCCCUGCAUGCGGUACUAUGGCAUCUGCGUCAAGGACAGCUUUCUGGGGGCAGCCCUGGGUGGUCAAGUGCUGGCGGAGGUAGAGGCCCUGAAGCGGGGCGGGCGCCUGCGAGACGGGCAGCUUGUGAGCCAGCGGGCUAUCCCGCCACGCAGCAUCCGUGGGGACCAGAUUGCUUGGGUGGAAGGCCAUGAGCCGGGCUGCCAAAGCAUCGGUGCCCUCAUGGCCCACGUGGAUGCCGUCAUCCGCCACUGUGCUGGGAGGCUGGGCAGCUACGUCAUCAAUGGGCGCACCAAGUCUUUGUGUGCCUCAUGUGUGUGUGGGAAGUGGGCUCUUGGGGCCAGGAGCAGAGGUUUCUUGUGGAUAGAGGCUUGGCUAAAAAGGAGCGUCUGGGAGUUGGAACACUUGGAGCCCCCAGGACCCUUGAGGAGAGUAAACCCUAUCUCCAUCAUCUCUGCCAGGCCAUGGUGGCAUGUUACCCAGGAAACGGGCUGGGGUACGUGAGACACGUUGACAAUCCCCAUGGCGACGGGCGCUGCAUCACUUGUAUCUAUUACCUGAAUCAGAACUGGGAUGUCAAGGUGCAUGGCGGCCUGCUGCAGAUAUUUCCUGAGGGCCGGCCCGUGGUAGCCAAUAUUGAGCCCCUCUUCGACCGGCUGCUCAUUUUCUGGUCUGAUCGGCGGAACCCCCAUGAGGUGAAACCAGCCUAUGCCACCAGGUACGCCAUCACUGUCUGGUAUUUUGAUGCCAAGGAGCGAGCAGCAGCCAAAGACAAGUAUCAGCUAGCGUCAGGACAGAAAGGUGUCCAGGUGCCCGUGUCACAGCCGGCUACGCCCACCUAGUGGCCAGUCCCAGAGCUGCAUGGACAGACAGCUUGCCCUGGCUUCUGGAGAGCCCUGGGCCCCGGUGCUGCCAGUCUUGGUGCCUGCUCCUUCCCCGCCACCACCACUGCUUCUGACUUUGCCUCCGUCCUGCCUGGUGUGGAGGGCUCCGUCCACUGCUGAGGACCAAGGAGGAGGAGAGGCCUCUACUGCCCUGGGAUGGGGACGGGGGUUGUGACCUGGACAGGAGCCAGUGUUGGGGGCUGCCGUUACUGGAGCUGGGGGCCUGUGUCCUGCCCUGCCUGGUCAUGGCCCUCUCAGGUUUGGAGAGCUGGAAGGAGGCAUCGCCACCUCCCGCCAGGACGCAGGAUCUGGGGUUGGGGUGAGUCAUGGCCUCUUGCUGGCAAAGGUUUGUGGGGGACUAUCCCCAAGCCCCCCACUCCUCCAGCCUGGAAUGUGAAGUGACUCCCCAACCCCUGUCUCCAUGGCACCUUUUGGACUCGGCUGCCACUGCUUGGGCAGGAUAAAAGGUGCUGGGAGGAGCAUGGGUGUGCAAGUCCUGUCAGCCAAGAAAUAAAAGUUUACCUCAGAGCUGCA